CGGUCCACAAGAGUCUACAAGACGGAUACACAGAGCGGAAUCUUCAUGUCCGGAGCUUCUGUCCACAGAAUCUUCGCACCAGAGGGUAUCAUGUAUCGAUCUAAUCACCUGUUUGUCACAUCAAGCUGCACACCUGGAACCGGAAGGAUGCUGUAUGUCCACGAGCACAUGUGGUGGAUGUCCACGCUCGCAGCCGAAAAAGGACUUGGUGGAUACGAGAAAGACCCCACGCUCACUGGUGUGCAAUGUGCUGUUAUGGCAAAGAACAGAGCAUGUUCCUGUCUUUGGUUAUCUAGCUGUAUGAGUACUAAUCAUCCGUCAUAAAGCUAGAUAACCGAAAGUAGGAAUGACCUUCAAACCUUCUCUUCCUUGCAUGCUUAAAUGAGACACACACAAAAAAGAGGAAAACAGAAUAACAAAAGAAACACAAGAGGAUGUACUCUCUGUUCAGGAAAAGAAGCAAUGAAUUUCACCGCACUGCAGAUCAUCACCCAAGUUUAUAAAAUCAUUCUACCCAUUUUAUUGGGAGGACUAUCUGCCAUAGUCACAUGCAUUUUCUGUACCGAUCCCAAAGAGGGCACAUAUCGACAAGCAACCAUUCACACUCACUUAUGUUGUGACAUUUCACACAUAAGUGAAAAACACUACCGACUUUGAGGAAGGAAUGAUGUUCUUCAGUGUAAACAUUCGUGUUCAUUUCACGUGCAUUUGGAAAAAUGAAGAAAGAGUUCACAUUUCUGUCUGAAGCUGUCAUCACACACAUUCGUACAUCCACAUUAUUGUUUGCCAGCAAUUAUUGGUAGUUAUAUGAAUGUCAUAUGACUUUUCUAUGCAAAUCUGUUUUAUGUUUUAUGUAAUUACUAAUCUGCUUUUACAAAUAAAACUGUGUAAAGAGUUAUUGUGUCUGAGUUUCAUUGCAAUGAAUGCAAUGAUAGCGUAGUCAGCACCCUGGACAGUGACAUCUAUAGUCUAUUGCUGGGUUGUGCCAACUUUUUCCACCAAGGGUUGCAUAGUGUAAAGAAAAAUAUACGGGGAGGCCACUCUGAUAUUUUUAUGUACAGUAUUUUUAAAUUUUAGAAAAAUGCUAAAAAAAAACCUGUAUGUAUAUUUAAAGACAAAGCUUUGUGUUAUUGUUAGUUAUUAGUAUCGACAUUUCCGCUUCUUCUCUUUACAUUUUGCCUUUUUGCUCUAUUUUUCCAAUUUUUGCUGGGGUUUUUUUUGGUUAAUUUUCAUUUCUACAAUGUGCCGUGGGCCAAUAAAAAACAAGCUGCGAGCCACAGUAUACACCCUUGGUCUAUUGCAUAAGAAUAGAAUAAGUUUUCGUCCUACAG